AUGUUUGUGAAAAUUUUAUUUGCAUUCUACAGGAUUUGGAUACUUCUUACUCCCUCCGUUCCACAAUGUAGUGCGUAUAUAUUUUUGAAAAGUCAAAGUUUGCUAAGUAUGACUUUCAAAAAAAUCUAUAUGCACAACAUUGUGGAACGGAGGGAGUACUAUUUAUUUCUGCACCUACCUGUAGGUUACUCUAUCAUACUAGAUAUCUUUGUGUUUCAAGAGCUUGUAUUCAAAUUUCUGAAGGGCGUAUUUUCCCCCCACGCUAGAGGAAUAUAUAUUGGCGUAUUUGGGACUCAACUAACUUUAAUCCCGUAG
rnacentral:rRNA from 1 species